rnacentral:rRNA from 1 species
GAUGAACGCUGGCGGCGUGCUUAACACAUGCAAGUCGAGCGAAGCACUUAAGUUUGAUUCUUCGGAUGAAGACUUUUGUGACUGAGCGGCGGACGGGUGAGUAACGCGUGGGUAACCUGCCUCAUACAGGGGAAUAACAGUUAGAAAUGACUGCUAAUACCGCAUAAGACCACGGUACCGCAUGGUACAGUGGUAAAAACUCCGGUGGUAUGAGAUGGACCCGCGUCUGAUUAGGUAGUUGGUGGGGUAACGGCCUACCAAGCCGACGAUCAGUAGCCGACCUGAGAGGGUGACCGGCCACAUUGGGACUGAGACACGGCCCAGACUCCUACGGGAGGCAGCAGUGGGGAAUAUUGCACAAUGGAGGAAACUCUGAUGCAGCGACGCCGCGUGAAGGAUGAAGUAUUUCGGUAUGUAAACUUCUAUCAGCAGGGAAGAAAAUGACGGUAC